GAUGAAGAACGCAGCGAAAUGCGAUAAGUAAUGUGAAUUGCAGAAUUCAGUGAAUCAUCGAGUCUUUGAACGCACAUUGCGCCCCCUGGUAUUCCGGGGGGCAUGCCUGUCCGAGCGUCAUUGCGGCCCUCAAGCACGGCUUGUGUGUUGGGCCCCCGUCCCCGGUUUCCCCCGGGGACGGGCCCGAAAGGCAGCGGCGGCACCGCGUCCGGUCCUCGAGCGUAUGGGGCUUUGUCACCCGCUCUGUAGGCCCGGCCGGCGCCAGCCGACACCCAACUUUAUUUCUAAGGUUGACCUCGGAUCAGGUAGGGAUACCCGCUGAACUUAAGCAUAUCAAUAAGCGGAGGA
rnacentral:misc_RNA from 1 species